GAUGAACGCUGGCGGCGUGCCUAAUACAUGCAAGUCGAGCGGACGGACGCGACGCUUGCUUCUUUGAUGUUAGCGGCGCGCGGGAGAGUAACAUGUGGAUAACCUACUUAUAAGACUGGGAUAAUUUCGGGACACCGGAGCUUAUACCGGAGAAUAUUUUGAACCGCAUGGUUCAAUAGUGAAAGUCGGCGUUGCUGUCACUUCUAGAUGGAUCUGCGCUGCAUUAGCUAGUUGGUACGGUAACGGGUUAUCAAGGGAACGAUGCAUAGCCGACCGGAGAGGGGGAUCGGCCACACUGGAGCGGAGCCGCGGUCCAGACUCCUACGGGACGCAGCAGUAGGGUAUCGGCCGCAAUGGGCGAGAGCCUUACGGAGCGACGCCGCGUGUGUGGUGGAGGUCUUCGGAGCGGAAAACUCUGUUAUGAGGUGAGAACAGAUUUGUAAGUAACUGAGGACUGCGUGACGGUACCGAAUCAGAAAGCAACGGCUAACUACGUG
rnacentral:rRNA from 1 species